CCCCAGCGCCACGAGUGGUCAUCGCGAUUAUUGGGCCUAAAGCGUUCGUAGCCGGUUUGGUGCAUCUCUUGUGAAAUUGUUCGGCUUAACCGGACAGCGUGCAGGAGACACGGCCAGACUCGAGACCGGGAGGCGUUAGAAGUAUGCUGUGGGGACUGGUAAAAUGGGAUAAUCCACAGUAGACUACCGAUGGCGAAGGCAUCUAACGAGAACGGAUCUGACGGUGAGGAACGAAAGCCAGGGGAGCGAACCGG
rnacentral:rRNA from 1 species